GACGAACGCUGGCGGCGUGCUUAACACAUGCAAGUCGAACGGAAAGGCCCUGCUCUUGUGGGGUGCUCGAGUGGCGAACGGGUGAGUAACACGUGAGUAACCUGCCCUUGACUUUGGGAUAACUUCAGGAAACUGGGGCUAAUACCCGAUAGGAGCUCCUGCUGCAUGGUGGGGGUUGGAAAGUUUCGGCGGUUGGGGAUGGACUCGCGGCUUAUCAGCUUGUUGGUGGGGUAGUGGCUUACCAAGGCUUUGACGGGUAGCCGGCCUGAGAGGGUGACCGGCCACAUUGGGACUGAGAUACGGCCCAGACUCCUACGGGAGGCAGCAGUGGGGAAUAUUGCACAAUGGGCGGAAGCCUGAUGCAGCAACGCUGCGUGCGGGAUGACGGCCUUCGGGUUGUAAACCGCUUUCGAAUGUGACGAAGCGUGAGUGACGGUAAUGGGUAAAGAAGCACCGGCUAACUACGUG
rnacentral:rRNA from 1 species